UACGUAGGGGGCAAGCGUUGUCCGGAAUCAUUGGGCGUAAAGAGCGUGUAGGCGGCUUGGUAAGUCCGCUGUGAAAGUCCAGGGCUCAACCCUGGAAUGCCGGUGGAAACUGUCAAGCUUGAGUCCGGAAGAGGCGAGUGGAAUUCCUGGUGUAGCGGUGAAAUGCGUAGAUAUCAGGAGGAACACCUGUGGCGAAAGCGGCGCACUGGACCACAACUGACGCUGAGGCGCGAAAGCUAGGGGAGCAAACAGG
rnacentral:rRNA from 1 species